UGCUUCUGUGGCCUAGUGGUUAGAGCAUCCACCUUGGAUGCUGGAGGUUGGGGGUUCAAACCCCAGCCAAGUCAU